rnacentral:rRNA from 1 species
GACCCCAGGUCAGGCGGGGUUACCCGCUGAAUUUAAGC